GACGAAGGGGGCUAGCGUUGUUCGGAAUUACUGGGCGUAAAGCGCGUGUAGGCGGUUGCCAAAGUCGGGUGUGAAAGCCUUGAGCUCAACUCAAGAAUUGCACUCGAUACUUGGUGACUAGAGGACCGGGGAGGAUAGUGGAGUUCCCAGUGUAGUGGUGAAAUACGUAGAGAUUGGGAAGAACACCAGUGGCGAAGGCGGCUAUCUGGACGGUUUCUGACGCUAAGACGCGAAAGCGUGGGGAGCAAACAGG
rnacentral:rRNA from 1 species